UGGCUGGUGGUGGACCAGUCCGGUGAGGUCCAUCGGAGAAGAAGACCGGAGCUAGGGCUCCGGUGCUGUGUUGGCGCCCUUCCAGCCAUCUGAUGAUGUUGAAAUGUUUUAAUCAUGGCCAUUGGUAUUAAUUACCAUUGUUGCAAUGCGUUGACUAGGGAGCACCAUGGAUGACACGCGUGUGGCCAUCAGAUCUGCC
rnacentral:lncRNA from 1 species